AGAGUUUGAUCCUGGCUCAGGAUGAACGCUAGCGACAGGCUUAACACAUGCAAGUCGAGGGGCAGCGGUGGUGAAGGCUUGCCUUUACCAGCCGGCGACCGGCGCACGGGUGAGUAACACGUAUGCAACCUGCCUGCCACAGCCGGAUAAUCGGGAGAAAUUCCGUCUAAUACGGCAUAAUGCACCUAUGGGACAUCCUGUUGGUGCCAAAGGUUGAUUCCGGUGGCGGAUGGGCAUGCGUCGCAUUAGUUAGUUGGCGGUGUAACGGACCACCAAGACGACGAUGCGUAGGGGUUCUGAGAGGAAGGUCCCCCACACUGGUACUGAGACACGGACCAGACUCCUACGGGAGGCAGCAGUGAGGAAUAUUGGUCAAUGGGCGGGAGCCUGAACCAGCCAAGUCGCGUGAGGGAUGACGGCCCUAUGGGUUGUAAACCUCUUUUGCCGGGGAGCAAAGUGCCGCACGUGUGCGGUUUGGAGAGUACCCGGAGAAAAAGCAUCGGCUAACUCCGUGCCAGCAGCCGCGGUAAUACGGAGGAUGCGAGCGUUAUCCGGAUUUAUUGGGUUUAAAGGGUGCGUAGGCGGACGCUUAAGUCAGCGGUAAAAUUGCGGGGCUCAACCUCGUCGAGCCGUUGAAACUGGGUGCCUUGAGUGGGCGAGAAGUACGCGGAAUGCGUGGUGUAGCGGUGAAAUGCAUAGAUAUCACGCAGAACUCCGAUUGCGAAGGCAGCGUACCGGCGCCCCAACUGACGCUGAAGCACGAAGGCGUGGGUAUCGAACAGGAUUAGAUACCCUGGUAGUCCACGCAGUAAACGAUGAAUGCUAGUUGUCCGGGGCGAUUGAGUUCUGGGUGACACAGCGAAAGCGUUAAGCAUUCCACCUGGGGAGUACGCCGGCAACGGUGAAACUCAAAGGAAUUGACGGGGGCCCGCACAAGCGGAGGAACAUGUGGUUUAAUUCGAUGAUACGCGAGGAACCUUACCCGGGCUCAAACGCAGGAGGGAUGUUUUUGAAAGGAGGCAGCCAGCAAUGGUCUCCUGCGAGGUGCUGCAUGGUUGUCGUCAGCUCGUGCCGUGAGGUGUCGGCUUAAGUGCCAUGACGAGCGCAACCCCUACCUACAGUUGCCAUCGCGUGAUGGCGGGCACUCUGUGGGGACUGCCUGCGCAAGCAGUGAGGAAGGCGGGGAUGACGUCAAAUCAGCACGGCCCUUACGUCCGGGGCGACACACGUGUUACAAUGGCAGGUACAGCGGGAAGCCACCCGGCGACGGGGCGCGGAACCCGAAAACCUGUCUCAGUUCGGAUUGGAGUCUGCAACCCGACUCCAUGAAGCUGGAUUCGCUAGUAAUCGCGCAUCAGCCACGGCGCGGUGAAUACGUUCCCGGGCCUUGCACUCACCGCCCGUCA
rnacentral:rRNA from 1 species